rnacentral:rRNA from 1 species
AUUGAACGCUGGCGGCAGGCCUAACACAUGCAAGUCGAGCGAGCGGCGGACGGGUGAGUAAUUUAUGGGGAUCUGCCUGGUGGCGGGGGAUAACUACUGGCAACGGUAGCUAAUACCGCAUACCAUCAGAUCAACCCAUAUUGGAUUAGCUAGUUGGUGGGGUAAAGGCUUACCUAGGCGACGAUCCCUAGCUGGUCUGAGAGGAGUGUCAGCCACACUGGGACUGAGACACGGCCCAGACUCCUACGGGAGGCAGCAGUGGGGAAUAUUGGACAAUGGGCGCAAGCCUGAUGCAGCCAUGCCGCGUGUAUGAAGAAGGCCUUCGGGUUGUAAAGGACUGUUAGCAGUGAGGCGUUACCGACAGAAGAAGCACCGGCUAACUCCGUGCCAGCAGCCGCGGUAAUAC